rnacentral:rRNA from 1 species
GACAGAGGUGCCAAGCGUUAGGCGGAAUCACUGGGCUUAAAGCGUGUGUAGGUGGAUUUGUAAGUACCUUGUGAAAUCCCAUGGCUCAACCAUGGAACUGCUCGGGUAUACUGCGAAUCUUGAGCCACUUAGGGGCUACCGGAACAAAUGGUGGAGCGGUGAAAUGCGUAGAUAUCAUUGGAACGCCAAUGGUGAAAACAGGUAGCUGGGAGUGUGCUG